rnacentral:rRNA from 1 species
AUUGAACGCUGGCGGCAGGCCUAACACAUGCAAGUCGAACGGCAGAAGAGUAAUUGCUUCUUCUUACAGCGGCGGACGGGCGGGUGGUGCGUGGAGAUAUCCGUGGUAGUGGGUGCGAACGGCCGAACGCAGGGAAACUUACGGCAUUCCGCCAGAGGACCUACGUGGGAAAUCUUCGGAUCUUCGGCCAUUGCACGAUUCAAGGUGGCGUGGUCUGAUUAGCUAGUUGGUGGGGUAAAGGCCCACCAAGGCGACGAUCCGUAACUGGUCUGAGAGGAUGAUCAGCCACACUGGAACUGAGACACGGUCCAGACUCCUACGGGAGGCAGCAGUGGGGAAUAUUGGACAAUGGGCGAAAGCCUGAUCCAGCCAUGCCGCGUGUGUGAAGAAGGUCUUCGGAUUGUAAAGCACUUUUGUUGGGAAGGAAGAGCAGGAGGUUAAUACCUUGCUGUUCUGACGUUACCAACAGAAUAAGCACCGGCUAACUUCGUG